GCCCCCGUAGCUCAGUCUGGCUAGAGCGACGGUCUUAUAAGCCGUAGGUCCGCGGUUCGAAUCCGCGCGGGGGCA
rnacentral:tRNA from 1 species